GGAGUGGUAGCUCAGUAGGUAGAGCGCUAGAUUGAAGGUCUAGGCGUCGGGGGUUCGAAGCCCUCCCACUCCA
rnacentral:tRNA from 1 species